GUUGUUGCAUCACUGAAGUUGCUAGGUUUGGGUUUGUUAGGGAAAAAAUCCCAACAAAUUAAAGCAGAUCCAAUGUCUCCUUGCCAGCACUUGCUGCAUUUGGCCUUGGUGAAUUAAUUUGAAAAGUAGUGAUGUGUAAUGGUAUGUGACACGUUCUCAUAUCCUUGGGACAGCUGCGUGCACUGGAGAAAUGCAGCUUCCUUCUGAACACAGUGAGAAAGAAGGGGAAAAAGAGAGGGGGGACUGUUACGAACAGCAUUAACAUAGCUUGGGGAUGAGAUCAUCCUCUCCUGUGCACCUGGGAGCUGGGAGGGUUCGUUAAAAAAACUGUUUAGUCAUUUCAGUGAGGUGGAAGAGCACUGCUCUCUUCUGGUAAUGGGCUUGGAGGAGGAGGAGGCAGCAGUGCUGCUAGUCAGGGGCAGCUUGCAGCCCCCGGCAUGCUGCCCAGGAGGUGCAGGUUCCGAUAUAAAUCCUUCCUUAAGUGCCUUCCUGCUUUGUAAAUGCUUCAUUUAAGACAAAACCUGCAAAAUUCCCACACAGCUGACGUUCUAGCCUCCUGGCCUUCCCUGUAUGACUUCUCAGUGAUUUCUAAUGCUGGCUAAAUGACAGGUUCCACCUGCAGCUGGGGACCAGCACCAACAACCAUCACCUGGACUUACCUAAGGAAGGAAUGUGUUCGGUGCACAAAGUAACCCCUGCGUUUCCCUGUAAUUGCAGCAACUGUGUGUUGGACAGAUGGCCAAUCCCCAGCAUCAUGUCAGGGGAGUUCUGCUUAGUUUUCUGUGCACCCAGCUUUAAUUACAGUUCUUCCAGACAUAUUUAUUCUAAGUUAACUGCGACGAGCUGCAUCAGAAUAAGAUGCUCCUUCCCAGCAGCACCUUCUGCUCGCUUCCCCUAGCUGGGAAUGCCUUCCUGAUGCUCCUCAGGCAGACUUAGCUUGAUGUUUUACUCCCAUCUAGUGCUUCUUUAUUAAAACUGCUGGUGCUCUGCGUCUCGCACAGGGCUGAGCAAACGCUAUCUUGUCUCUAACCUGGUGGUGUCUGCUCAGGAUACAUAAACUCUGUUAAACACCAGUGACUCGCAGCCUGCCCUGCCAGGACUGAGCAUCUCACGGCCCGACAGGGCAGGUCAUGAGCCUCACUGGCAGCUGGGGGUCAGCACUGCCCCAGCUGCGUGCCAAGGGAUUGCUGGAGAGGGUUAGACCUCCUUUCCCCAUCGUUUCUUCUAGAGGUGAGGAAGCAAACCUUCCCCAGCCACUGAGCAUUUGAAUGCGUGGGCACCACUGGACGAAGUGAAUAUUGUCACUGAGGAAGGCUUUGGUCUGUGGGACCAGGUCCCAUGGAUUUAGAAUGAAAGUAAGUGUCUUAAGUGUGUCAAAUACUCAGAAACCACAGGCACUUCCGGGAGUCUUAUUCCCUGUCUUUCCUUUUCCUUUCAUGCUGUUUUGGUACCAAGGUGCUUUUUCUUUUUUCCUUUUUUUAAAUUGACUUUUUUUAUGUCUUUCUGUUCCUUCUAAUCAAAAUUCUGACUGAGCUUUCUCUUUGAACUAAUUUAUAUGAUGAAUGUUUUAGGAGUGUGAUGAGGAAAUACGGAUAAUCUUAGGCUUGUGAUUGAAUAUUUACAGGCAUAAUACAGGCUUCAAGCCAUCUCUAAGUGUUUGGCAGCCCAUGCCUGACCGAGGAAAUAAGCACUCAGGUAAGAUGACCAACUCUCAUUAAAAUUUAGUGAAGGUCAUUAGUUUGCUCUUACUUAGUGAAUUUUCCCUGGGUGACAUAUUGCCCAACGGGGUAUGAUAGCAUAAAUAUGGAAUUUUAGUAUGUGUUUUUUGAAGAUGAGCAAAGCAGGCAGAUGGGCAACUGGGGCCUUAACAUCACUAUAGCUAUCUCUCUUGAUUAAACUAUUAGCACAUUAAUUAAAAUUACUCUAGGGAGCACGUGCAUGGGGUGGGAAAACUGGCAAUCAUGCCAGACCACAGGUGGAGGUGCUGAGUUCUGGGCAGAGCAGCUUUAGGUAGGUAAGCACUCAUCUGGUGGGUUCCUGCACCACUGAGUCAGUGGCACCUCUGCCCUUGCCAGCAUUACCUUUUAUCUGCAGCAAGGCUUUGUGGGCUAGGCUGAGUAAUGAGAUAGGUAAUGUGAUGUCCCCACAUUUCUUUAACAUCUCUUCCCAUGGUCACUGACAAACCUUUUUGCUUUUUCUAUUGUUGAGGUUUCAUUAUGAUGAACAUAAACAGUUCCCCAUUUUAUACCCACCACUGAACCUCCCUGAGACAUUCUGCUUUUUAUCCUAAGUUUCUGCGGUCUUUCUAUCCCCUCUGCUGCUCACAUGACCACAUAUUCCAGCUUGGAUUGAAACAACCUCUGUGCUUUUUGCUCAGCUGAUGUUUCCUGCCCAAGGUCCUGGUUUCUGCUUGGUGCUUUGGCCACUUGUGGCACAUCAAAGACCCCUUCUGCUACCAAAAAUUCAUACUCCUGCCUCUGUGUGCUGCCACUGCACUUCCUUAGUUUUAUUCCGCUGCUUCUUCAUGAGUAAUCAAAACCCUUUCCUUAAAUGCUUGGUGUUUUUUUUUUUUUUCUCUGCAUCCUUCCUUAUUUCCCAUUCCUUUCAUCUUCCAAUGGGGUGCAAUCUGCCCUGAUUUUUUCUCCCCUUAGUUCAAACCCCAGUGAAUAUCUAGGCAGAGCUGUUCUCCUCUCUCCACAGUUAGAUGUGGCUUGCUUUCUUCUUCUUUUAUGCUUCUUUCCCUCUCUUCACAGUCAGUUUAACCACAGACGUGAAACCUCCACCGUAUUCCAUUUAGGAGCAGAGACCGUAUUGCCUGAAACCACUGCAAACCUAUAAAGUUCUGUGUUUGUUUAGCAGGAACAAAGAUUAUUUUUGCAAGAAGGUGAUGAAACAGCAAAGUUAGAGUUCUUCCAGCAGCAGAAAAUGCACAAAGGCAGGCAAUGUUUAUAGGCAGAUAAAUAUCAAAUGUAAUGCACUGAUUAAUAUUCCAGCAGGAUGGACUUUUAUGAACUGGCAUGUCAUUCUGUAGGUUUUAUUUUUAACAGAUGGGAAAGGAAAACAACAUUUGGUCUAGAGCCUCUGUCUGUCUGAAUGAGGUUUUGCUCAUUUGGGGGGCUGCAGCUAUUCUAAACAUGGCAACCUGAUUUAAUUAGCUGACUAGGAUCCUGCUUCAUCAGGGUUUUUUUUUUGUGUGUGGAUAAAUGCACUCUAGCAAAACUGACAGUACUCAGAGCUCCAGACUGCUCCCGCCAAGUUUCCAUCUGAAAUGUGCAAACAAAAUAGCUGAUGAAAUAAUAGACAUGCUCACGCUGGAAACCUUUCUCUUUCCUUUUUCAGGGAAAUUGAAUAUCUAUUGAUUUAUCAUUUCUACCAGAUGGGGAUCACAGCAGUAGUUCCUCUGUGUUUUCACAAGCAGUGUCUUUCACAGAGUUUGCUUUGGUUGACAAGUUAUUUUCCUUCUGAUUUGAGUCUGCCUCUAAUGUGUGCUUUUGGGGUAUUGAUUUCACCAGCAGACAAGCUCUGAUUAUGGCUGUUGCAAGGCUGCCAAGGUCCUGCGAUGUGCAGAAGUCUCUUUGAGUUUCUUCUUCCUGAAAGGCCUAGGCUUCUUAGGGCUAGGAUGAAAAGCAUGAGACCCAUUAAGCAAAGAAGCCAAUCCUGAUGCCUAGGAGGGGUUGCAAAGGCAGUUGGAAUAAAAAGUGAUGCCAAGUCCUUUGUGCAUCUUUGUAUGUGGCACAGGUGCCACAUUGACGCAAAAUGUUUGGAGACUGUCUCCCCGAGAAAGUCUGUUGUCUUAAAUGCAAGUUCCAAUUAUAGUACAAACCCAGCAUUAGGGGCUUUUUGUUUUCAAGUGUGUUGUGCUGAGCUAGGCUUAUCAUCAAGAAGACAAGGGAAUUAACCUUGGUUUAUUAAUUUUAUGUAGACAUUAAUAGUUGCAGCAUCAGCAUUUCCUUGAUUUAGCCACGCGGGUACCACACACAGUAUAGAACUGAAGGAAUGCCAUCUGGGAAUUGAGAGCUGCCCAGUUUUUCAGUCUGCCUUCCCAAGGUUAUAUGACAUCAGUCUCUGAUCAACUGCCCUUUCUGUUGGCUAGUUUCCACCUCAAUUGAAAGGGACAUAAGUCCUGGAAAAGUAAAUUCCCCACUGAAACCCUAGAGGGAACCAAUGAGAAAAAGAGAAGAAGGUGUCAGGUCUCACUGAAUCUCCUUGUCAGCAACCGGCAGGACCUCGGGGUGUAUGUUGGCUUGCCAACCUGCUUAUGAAUAUUUCCAGAUUGGCUACCACACAUAUUGCUCCUUCUUGGUGUUGUCAAAGACAAAUGAGAGCAGGCAGUAGGAGUUACUGCACGUAGGAGAAGACAUUUUAUGGGAUAUCUGACACAUCCAAGGGGAAAAAAAAACCAAACAUUUUUGCUGCCCAGGAAACUGUUUGGAUACUUAGCUGGUCUGGCUUGUUUUGUUUUGUUUUUCCCUCAGAAAAAGUCUGAAUUGUACUGCUUCUUUAUUCCACCAUUCUUUCCCCCUGCAUAUUUCAACUAGCUCCCCUCUGCCAUGAAGUGUUCAUGACAGAGAAAGUAAGCCAGCUGACUGAUGGCUGAGGAAGAGAUUUUCUGCAGGUUAUGGGGCCAUGUGAAGGUGAUGACAGUUACAACAGCGCUGAACUGGCAUAGAAGAUCACAGCAGACCCUGGGCUAUGUAGUUGCUCAAUCUAGUAAUUUAAAUUGCCACCUUGCUUCCCACUGUUGCAGUUUUUCAGUGUUCUUGAAAAUUAUCAUUGCAUGUAUUUACAUAUAUUUACACAUAUACAUAGGUUUAUGCCUUGCUCCCUGAACAGGAAGGUUAUUGCUUGGUCUCAUGUUUUUGACAGCAAGUACAUCUGGAAUCCACUUCCAGCUUCUGCACGUAGGUGAUUUCCUUCUAGUAGGACACCGUGUAAUCCACACCUGGUGCAAGGGCAGAGCUAUUCCACAGCUCCAGAGUACAAAAUCCUCCCUGUGCAGAUCAGCUUCUCGGAGGCUGAGGGGCCAUGCGUGUUCUAGUACUCUUCUGUUCAACCAAAGUCUUCAUUUUCUGUCUUUUUAGAAACCUGUUUAGAAACAUCCUUUACCUUAGGAUGAGAAGUCUGCUUUGGUCUCAAGCCCUGUCUCCCAGAGUUAGAGCAGAGCAAUACAGUAUAACCGAAGCUUCGUCUUUUGUGUGCAUAGCAAUGUGGAGUUUAAUUAAAAAUCUCACUUUCUGUUAUUUUUACUGCAGAUGACUGCUUCAGUGGGUGCCCAAGAAAACAGCAGGAUAAACUAACAAAAUGAAGCAGGGCUGUAUAGUGAAAGUGUUUGUUGUCUGGAGGACUCUGGCUUCGCUUGCUGAAGAAGGCUGAAAAUGCAUAAUGAAUGAGACAGGAUACUCCAGAAAGCCAUAAAAUGGUCUCAGAGGGCAUGUUUGAUACCUCUGUGGGGAGCUAGGUUCUGUAUCUUGCUCAGCCACAGGCUUGGUUCCUAUCCCUUGAACAGAAAAGUUUACCAUACCAUGCAUGCUUCUCAGCUUCUCAUUUUUUGUAUGUGCAAGGCAAGGCAGAUGGGACUAUUUUUUUUUUUUAGAGAGGUGUUACCUGCAGAUGAAGUGACCGCAGCUUUGCCUAUGGAAUGAGAUAUAAAAAAGCUCAGAGUUCUAUAAAAUGAACCAGGAUCUAAGCCUGGGUAUUAAAAAUUCAUAGAUGUUUUUCAUAGGUCUAUACUGAAAUUUCCACCGUGUUGGUACUUUGUGUGCAACAUGAGGGCAGUAAUUCCUAAGUGUCUUAGCCAAACUGUAGAGGAAUCCUUAAUAUUUUGGAGGUACAAGAUGUUGCAGUGGAAAUAUUUGUGAGGAAAACACAAAUUUUAUGCUCGAGGAAGCAAGAUUUGGAAGGCAUGAGGUAAAUAAGGAUAAGUAAUGUGUAUUAUAGCAGCAUGCUAAAAAUAAACAGAAAUAUUUAGCCAUUCACUGAGGAAGACAAGGACGUUGUAUAAAAAUAUAGUCUACAAUCAUGUAAUUAAAGCCUGCAUUGUAAUUUGAAGAAGCUGAAGUAAAGGAGCUGUGUGGGUGGCUUUAGCUCUGUUGUCUUUGUCACUGAGUUUCUGCUUUAAUAGGUAGCUUUUCAGAUGUUGUUGGAUAUGUGACAGCGUGGUAAUAACUUCCACAACACAAGUUUAACAGUGCUCUGAAAGCAAAUAUCUUGCUUUGAAACAGGUACAUUUCACUGGACAAAAUCCUCUCUUUCAUCUCAGCACUCCUCUAUUCUCUUCACUCCCUUCUUUGGAGGAAAGAAGGCUCCAGGGAGACCUCAUUGUGGCCUUCCAAUAUUUGAAGGGAGCCUACAAACAAGAGGGGGUAUGUCUGUUUACAAAGGUGGAUAGUCAUAGGACAAGGGGGUUUUAAAGUCUCAGUUUUAAACUGAGAUGGGGGAGGUUUAGCUUAGAUAUUAGGAGGAAGUUUUUCACUCAGAGGAUGGUGACGCACUGGAACAGGUUGUCCAAGGAGGUUGUGGAUGCCCCAUCCCUGAAGGCACUAAAGGCCAGGCUAGUGGUCUGGUAGACCCUGCACAUAGCAGGGGGUUGAAACUAGAUGAUCUUUGAGGUCCUUUUCAACCUAGGCCAUUCUAUGAUUCUCCUGUUGCCACCUCCAUGGGACACCACGCGAGGGCCAGCAGCCUUUGGUUGGCCACAGGUCCUUCUGACACCUGUGACCAGGCAUUGGAGGUUCCCUGCCUCAUCUCUGUAUCUCACAGCUCCUGGAGUGGGCUGUGACAUAAAUUCCUUGCAGGGAGUACGGUGUGAUGAGGAAGCUGUGCUGGCCACCCCACUCAGCCCCACUGCCAUACCGUCUGUGGCAACAAUGGUGUGUGGUUGCAGGAGGCAGUGAUGCUGAAUGCAGGAAACCUGACGAUGGUAUAUUUUACAGCAUGGCAGCUGUAAUGCAGGAUCGUAAGAAAUGUUUGCAUUUUGAAAUGCUUUAUCUUCCAUUUAAGGGAUAGUGUUUCUGGCAGGGAAAGAAUAUAUAAGGGUAUUAAAUGGCUUUCUUUGCAGGCAAUUAAACAAGGAAGACGAUCAAAGACAUUUAAAUAAUUGUAACAGAUGUUUAUUGCCUGAUGCAGUUUACUGCCUCCUAUUAUUUCUGUUACAUACAGGAGAGAAGAACACAUGGCAAACUGUACCGCAAAAGAAAUUCUUUACUGGCUUGUGAGGAACGUGGCUGCUUCUCUGCCUUCUUAAUUGUAUCAUGUUGAGAACAAGUCAGUAAUAAGUAGUGUUUGGAGGGCAGAGAAGUGGCUUACUGCCUGGAGGAGCAGCAGCAAGUGGUGUGCAAAGACAUGGGGUUGGUGGUAAACACCUUUGAGACAACAGACUGCUGUGGGAUUGCUUCAAGAGUGAUGCUCAGCUCACUCACAUUAGGAAUUUCAGUUCCUCCUGAAGUUAUGCAGUUAGUACUGAGAGGGACAUCCUGGCUCAGGACAAAAGUGUUGGUGGCACUGUAAUCCUCAGUGACAUCUGGGAAUGGCCUCAGGUGGGCAACUAGGCAUUAAUAAAAGGCAAGCAUGUGACAACUCCCCCAGAUACUCCUCAAACAUUUUUGUUGUAGGGCCAGAUGUGUUUUCUUUGUCGUUAAUAACAUAAUAACAUACUUUAGUACUGUGUGUUUAAUUCUAUGUAUUUAAAAACAGAUUUUUCUUGCCUUGAAUUUAAGUGUUCAGAAUAGCCUAUGUAGGACAGUAAGUACCCUAGAGGAACCCAUGAGCUUUUCAUCACCAAUUAAAAGAAAGGGAUGUUUGUUUCCCUAAACAAUAACAAAAAAUUCUAACAAUGAUACUCCUCCCAAUCCCAAAUCCCCAUACAAAAGCCUAUAAACAUUCAAAAUCUAGGCUAGUGUCCCUCCAAUUGUUUUAUCCUUGGCUUUGACUAAAAUCUGAGGCUUUUUCAGCAAACAUCUCAUAUUUUCAAAUUCAGUAAUGACUUCAUACAUCCUACUAAUAGAAAAAAAAGACUUAUUGCCAUCAUUUCAGAACACAACUGGAAUAUUCAAUAUUCCCCAUCUCCCUUCCUCCCUCUUGCUGAAAGAGGAAGACUUCAGGGAGACUCUUUCUCAGAAGGAAUAACAAUUAUUUGAUGUGUUAUUGUUCCUCUACAGAUCACACCUCUCAUCUGGGGCAGAUCUUUUCUCCUCCUUGUGUCCUGACAUCAUCAUAGGCAGCAAAGUCUGCAUUAAAGACAUGAACUAAUGACACAGGCACUGCACUCUAAGAGGUGGUUCCUUCAUGGGCAAUCCACAUUGAGGUGAUGCACAGCAGGGAAGGGAGCUGGCUCCAGCACCCAUCAGGAACUGCUGAAAGGUACUCUUGCUCCUGGGUUGUCAACACAAGAUUUAGUGUGAGUUCCUGAAAGUGUCUUAACAGGCAUAGAAAGCACUGAUUCCCUCAAGUCUGCAGAAACAUGAUGCACAGCAACCAUUAGCACUGGCUUACAUUGCAGAACAAAUUCUGUGGCAGGAUGAGCCAGGUGCUAUGAUAGCUAUGAAAUAGCUAUGAAAUAGCCAUGAUGCUAUUUCAUCUGAGUGAGAGAGGGAAUGAAUUUGGGUCCUGGGGGAGCAUAGAAAGUGGAUGUUAUGCAACUCCUGAAAGAAUCAAGAGCUGUGGCUGUAGCAACUGCCAAUAAAUAUACUCAAGUACUACUCUGCUGGGAAUAUCUACAUGAGGCAUGAAGUGUGCUUACACCAAAUUACCUGAGGACCGCAUGAUGUCAGUCACAAGGAAAACAAUGCUGUGGGUCUUGUAGAUGGUCCUCAGCCUUGCUAUGACAAGAAGGUGCUGAGUGUUUGAAUGGCUCCCAUCCACUGUGAUUGCAUGAAGACAGGUGGGUCUCUGGCCAUGCCUACUCUCAACCUGCAUGGCAUGUUGUCUGACACUGGUAAGGAGUAUCUCAAAUCUACAUGAGGCAAUCAACAUCAUUUUGUGGACAAUUUUACAUUUGAAAGCAUCUCUCUGGAGCUGUUUGUCUUCAAAACAGAGAGCCCAGGAGUGUUUAUUGCCUGUAGGCUUGGCCUGGGAGAAAAUGAAACCAGCUUGAUACUGGAGACUGGGAAAUGAUACCAUUGUAUCCUGUGAAGGCAAGAUGCAAGCUGGCAUCUCCCUGCUUCCUCUCAUCUGUAACUCCAGAAGAACUGUCUUGGCCUCUUUGGACUGUAAGUAAGAGUUUGUACCUUUGUCACUAGCUGUCAUAGAAUGAACAACACAACCUCUGACGACUGAGUGGGACAAAACACAUGUCUUGGGAGCUGUUGCUUGGAGAAAAUAAAGCAACUUUUUUCUUUUCAGGGAACCGAGAAGACUCAUAGUAUCCCACUAGGACUUCCCAGAACACAAAUUAGUUUCGUCGUGCUAUAGUAUUUGCUCUUCAGUAUUACUAUCAGUCAGAAAAAUGCUGGGGUUCCUGUCACAUUGCUUUGUCACACUCACACUCAUAGUUUAAAUUGCUGUGAUAGAGAAUCAGGAGAAAGAGAGUCAUACUGAAUAUGACUUCUUCUAGUAUGAUCUUUAGGUUUACAUUAGAUAUGUUAUGUUGUAUUUGUAAUUAGACAACUCAAUCCAACCAACUUUCAUGUCAUUUUUCUUCAAAUGAUUCGUUAGCUGAAAAAUGAGGCUCCAUUCAGGCAAAGCUCUGUUGUGAAUUUGGGUCAAAUUUGGAAAAAAAAUGAGGAUUAUUCAAAAGCCUAAAGCUGUUUCUUGUAUAUUUUUUUUUUUCUUCCAGAAAAUGUUUCAAUGCUUUCAGCUCAGAGCAGCAUUUGGAGACCAAGUUUUUCUUCUGGUAAAACAUAAACUACAGCACAGAAAUAGAAGUAAAACAUUUGUUUGCUCAGCUCUAGUAACGUGGUGCCGAGGCAUGCCCGCAGGUAUGCUUGUACUGUAAUUGCUGCAGCUGUUAUUCUGAAUUGAAUACUUUUCCUUGCUUGCUCCUCUUCCUCUUCAUGCACUGUAGUUUUAUAAAGCUCAAGUUGCUGAUGAUGUGCUGCACAGGAUGGUUUUGAUGUGUUGUCUGGGCAAGACUAUCUUUGACAGCUACCUUUUACUCUCUGGGAGAAACAGGUCUAGGACGUGAUUCCUGCUCCCUCUUGCUACUCUCUAAGUGUUGUUGCAGGUGAAAAGGAAACAUGCCUCGUACAUGAAGUCACUAAUUUAUUAGUAGCAUAAUAGAAAUCUCAAGUCUAAUCCAAGAAUUAUUAUUGAUGCAGAUCUGGUUAUAGAAAGAGGAGGAAUACUAUGAAGAAAAGUCUCGGUAAUAACAUGGUUCAGGUUGUUACGUGUUUAACAUCCUAGUUUCUACACCUUUUUUUUUGUGCAAUGCUUACACUUCCAGUGGGCCCAUGUAACAUCAAAAUUUACUGUUAAUAUUGCCUUUUGUUUGUGCUAGCUACUAUGUCUCUAUUCUCUUCAUUAUCUAUAAAACUGGUUUUGUCCAGCUCCAGCCUUGCAUUUCUUUAAAUGAACACUGGUGGGUUUUUUAUAACCAUGGGAUCACCAAUGCCAGCCUGUGCUGCUUCUGUUACCAUCCUAGGUCUGUGCUGCUCCUCACCAUGUCCUGUGGCUCUGCCUCACAAGGUUCUCUAUAAUGUAUCAUUAUGUUAGAUUAAUAAAUAUCCCAUUCUUUAUAUAAUCACUGCUUGUUACUGCGGUCUAUAUAAAGUCAUGGUUGCAGCCUGUAAAGAUAAACAAAAGUAUAGUAAGCUAUCUAUAGCCUCCUUGUAAUCUGAAAAAAAACUGCUAUUACAGAUGAACCAAGUAAAAUAAGCUGCAGGUGGGUCAUGAGAAGACCAGGCAUAGCCAGCCUGGAGAGCCUCUGUUGAGGCCUUGCAAGCUUGGUACAGAGUUUGUGGCUUGUUCCUAGCACUGGCAAUACUGAUUUCUUGUGCUCUCAUGAGCUUCCUUAUUUGUUUUGAUGAUGCUUCUGAGUUGCUCUGAUCUAAUGGCACUUGCCCUUUCCUGGUUCAGUAUUUCUUUCACAUUUUUUUUCUGUUACGUGGGGUCUGCAGGAUAAAUACCACUGGGUGGGAGAUGGGUAGGGAAAGGAGGAAGGUGAGCAAAGGAGAAUCAGUCUACCCCAGCAGUGGGAUGAGGAUCAUCAUCUCCACUUCUCAGCACAAACAGAUUUUACUAAACUUCCUGCAAAACUCUUAGCAACAACCUUUUUGUGUGUUAGAAGGCAAUAAUCAAAUCACUCUGGCCUUUUGCUGAAGCAGAACAAAUCCAUGGCUGUGUUCCCAGCUGUAAACAAAGGGAGCUCCUGGUGACUGUAGAUAGACCCCAGAAGAUCUCAGGCUCAUCUCCAUGAGGAACCUCUGCUGGAAGGGAGUUUAUAUCUCCAAACCUUUCACAGGAAGCCCACUGAAUAAAUUCAGUUAGUUAUUUGGACAGGAUCAGUGCUGAGAUGAGAGUCAUCUAGCUCUGACUUUAGAAGUGAAUUGGAAGUCAACACCUGCAUGAGAGCUGCAUUACAGCCAAAAAGAAAGAGGAUGAGAGAAAAGUGUUAAUGUAGGAGCAAAGAAGGUCACUGGGAAACCUGGCUGCACAUUCAGAGAGAGCUUUUCCUGUGUCCAGGGAGUCUAGAGCCAAUGGUGAGUAGAGCAAGUUGCCUGUAGCUGUUGCUUGUAUGUUUGGGAGAAGCAGAGCCUGAUUUCUGGGCCAUAUGGUGAGAGCUCCAGCUUGUUGAGCAUCUCUUUGGAGCAGGCUGUCUACCUGGGCACAUGCUACUUAGUGAAUUUUCCCCUUUAAGCUCAGUGAGCAUUAGCUCCCUGCCCUACAGAUACCCUUCCAUGUGCCUGGGAUGCUGACUGGGGUGGAGCCCCAGUGGGCACCAGAUGAUGACCUCUGAACUUGCACUGAUGGCUGUGUCCAUCACUGACGUUUUUCUUGGAACUCAUGGAAUCAUAGAAUGGCUUGGUUUGGAAGGGACAUCAAAGACCAUUCAGUUUCAACCCCCUGCCAUGGGCAGGGCGUCCACCCACCAGCUCAGGCUGCCCAGAGCCCCAUUCAACAUGGCCUUGAACAUCUCCACUGGUAGGGCAUCCACAGUUCUGGGUAGCCCAUUCCAGCACUUCACCUCCCUCUCAGUGAAAAACUUUCCCUUGACAUCUAAUCUAAAUCUCCCUGCCUUUAGUUUGAAAGCAUCCCCCCUUGUCCUAUCACUAUCUACCUGUGUAAAAAGUUGAUUUCACUCCUUUUGUAACCUCUGGAUGUGUGAGAGCAAAGAGAUUCUCUGAAACAACUCAAGAGGCUUCCUGUGGGCCUUGGUCUCUCUUGCACAACGCUCUUGUGGUAACAAGGGUACCAUUGCUAUGUGGUCAAAAAAUAUACUCGGGGAAGCAUUUAUCGCUCUUUGACUGUUCAGUAUUUGGUCCCUAGGAGAUACAAUUGAUAUACAGUGUGCAGUAUAUUUUAUUAGGUGAAAAAGUACCCACUGAGGCAUAGUAUCAUUUCCAAAGUUGACCUUGUGACAGCGGGCAAUGGCAGUGCACAUAAAAAUGAUAAAAGCCUUGCUAAAAUCUCUGGCUGCACAGGUUGAGGAGAGAGCUUGAAAACUGUUGAUAGAUGGGUUAGAUUCACAGAUAGACACAGGCUCAGAGGUAAAUUUUUUAAAAAGGGAAAUAUGGGUAAGAAAUGAAUCCGGACGAGCACAGAGAAAAUCAAGAGAAAGGCAAAUGCGGCAGAAGACUGGAGAAAGCUUUGUUUUCUUACUGAGAAAGCACACUUCAUGAGGAAUUAUGGCCAGACUGAGGUGUUGGCAUGCUGGUUUGAGCUGCAGAGGAGAAUGGGGAUGUAAACUACUAAAUAAAUGACAACAUGGAUCUCUCUGUUGCUGCAAAGUUCUCUCUGUGUCUUCACUUUACUUGGUUAUUUGUGGUGUGUGUUUGUAGUGAGUUUUCUAGCAACACAGUUAAAUUGUCACAUUGAUUUUUCUUUCUCACAUUUUUUUAGGCAAGAGUAUAGGGUUUUUUUGUUUUUGUUUUGUUGGUUUUU
ensembl:lncRNA